rnacentral:rRNA from 1 species
UACACAUGCAGUCGAGCGGUAACAGGAGGAAAGCUUGCUUUCUUUGCUGACGAGCGGCGGACGGGUGAGUAAUGCCUGGGAAUAUGCCUUGAUGUGGGGGAUAACUAUUGGAAACGAUAGCUAAUACCGCAUAAUGUCCCGGUUUAUAAUGAACUGGGACCAAAGAGGGGGACCUUCGGGCCUCUCGCGUCAAGAUUAGCCCAGGUGGGAUUAGCUGGUUGGUGGGGUAACGGCUCACCAAGGCGACGAUCCCUAGCUGGUCUGAGAGGAUGAUCAGCCACACUGGAACUGAGACACGGUCCAGACUCCUACGGGAGGCAGCAGUGGGGAAUAUUGCACAAUGGGGGAAACCCUGAUGCAGCCAUGCCGCGUGUAUGAAGAAGGCCUUCGGGUUGUAAAGUACUUUCAGUCGUGAGGAAGGGUGUGUAGUUAACAGCUGCAUACCUUGACGUUAGCGACAGAAGAAGCACCGGGCUAACUCCGUGCCAGCAGCCGCGGUAAUACGGAGGGUGCGAGCGUUAAUCGGAAUUACUGGGCGUAAAGCGCAUGCAGGCGGUCUGUUAAGCAAGAUGUGAAAGCCCGGGGCUCAACCUCGGAACCGCAUUUUGAACUGGCAGACUAGAGUCUUGUAGAGGGGGGUAGAAUUUCAGGUGUAGCGGUGAAAUGCGUAGAGAUCUGAAGGAAUACCGGUGGCGAAGGCGGCCCCCUGGACAAAGACUGACGCUCAGAUGCGAAAGCGUGGGGAGCAAACAGGAUUAGAUACCCUGGUAGUCCACGCCGUAAACGAUGUCUACUUGGAGGUUGUGGCCUUGAGCCGUGGCUUUCGGAGCUAACGCGUUAAGUAGACCGCCUGGGGAGUACGGUCGCAAGAUUAAAACUCAAAUGAAUUGACGGGGGCCCGCACAAGCGGUGGAGCAUGUGGUUUAAUUCGAUGCAACGCGAAGAACCUUACCUACUCUUGACAUCCAGAGAAUUUGCCAG